GCAGCCGGAAUUAUUCCUCUUC
rnacentral:siRNA from 1 species